rnacentral:rRNA from 1 species
GAGAACGGUCUGGAAAGUCCGGCAGUAAAGGGUGAUAGCCCCGUAUCUGAAGAUGCUGUUAUUGUGAACUCGACGAGUAGGGCGGGACACGUGUUAUCCUGUCUGAAUAUGGGGGGACCAUCCUCCAAGGCUAAAUACUCCUGAUUGACCGAUAGUGAACCAGUACCGUGAGGGAAAGGCGAAAAGAACCCCGGCGAGGGGAGUGAAAAAGAACCUGAAACCGUGUACGUACAAGCAGUAGGAGCCUCUUUAUGGGGUGACUGCGUACCUUUUGUAUAAUGGGUCAGCGACUUAUAUUCUGUAGCAAGGUUAACCGUAUAGGGGAGCCGUAGGGAAACCGAGUCUUAACUGGGCGAAUGAGUUGCAGGGUAUAGACCCGAAACCCGGUGAUCUAUCCAUGGGCAGGUUGAAGGUUGGGUAACACUAACUGGAGGACCGAACCGACUAAUGUUGAAAAAUUAGCGGAUGACUUGUGGAUGGGGGUGAAAGGCCAAUCAAACCGGGAGAUAGCUGGUUCUCCCCGAAAGCUAUUUAGGUAGCGCCUCGUGAACUCAUCUUCGGGGGUAGAGCACUGUUUCGACUAGGGGGUCAUCCCGACUUACCAACUCGAUGCAAACUGCGAAUACCGAAGAAUGUUAUCACGGGAGACACACGGCGGGUGCUAACGUCCGUCGUGAAGAGGGAAACAACCCAGACCGCCAGCUAAGGUCCCAAAGUCAUGGUUAAGUGGGAAACGAAGUGGGAAGGCUCAGACAGCCAGGAUGUUGGCUUAGAAGCAGCCAUCAUUUAAAGAAAGCGUAAUAGCUCACUGGUCGAGUCGGCCCGCGCGGAAGAUGUAACGGGGCUAAACCAU